GACGAACGCUGGCGGCGUGCUUAACACAUGCAAGUCGAACGGAAAGGCCCUGCUUUUGUGGGGUGCUCGAGUGGCGAACGGGUGAGUAACACGUGAGUAACCUGCCCUUGACUUUGGGAUAACUUCAGGAAACUGGGGCUAAUACCGGAUAGGAGCUCCUGCUGCAUGGUGGGGGUUGGAAAGUUUCGGCGGUUGGGGAUGGACUCGCGGCUUAUCAGCUUGUUGGUGGGGUAGUGGCUUACCAAGGCUUUGACGGGUAGCCGGCCUGAGAGGGUGACCGGCCACAUUGGGACUGAGAUACGGCCCAGACUCCUACGGGAGGCAGCAGUGGGGAAUAUUGCACAAUGGGCGGAAGCCUGAUGCAGCAACGCCGCGUGCGGGAUGACGGCCUUCGGGUUGUAAACCGCUUUCGCCUGUGACGAAGCGUGAGUGACGGUAAUGGGUAAAGAAGCACCGGCUAACUACGUGCCAGCAGCCGCGGUGAUACGUAGGGUGCGAGCGUUGUCCGGAUUUAUUGGGCGUAAAGGGCUCGUAGGUGGUUGAUCGCGUCGGAAGUGUAAUCUUGGGGCUUAACCCUGAGCGUGCUUUCGAUACGGGUUGACUUGAGGAAGGUAGGGGAGAAUGGAAUUCCUGGUGGAGCGGUGGAAUGCGCAGAUAUCAGGAGGAACACCAGUGGCGAAGGCGGUUCUCUGGGCCUUUCCUGACGCUGAGGAGCGAAAGCGUGGGGAGCGAACAGGCUUAGAUACCCUGGUAGUCCACGCUGUAAACGGUGGGUACUAGGUGUGGGGUCCAUUCCACGGGUUCCGUGCCGUAGCUAACGCUUUAAGUACCCCGCCUGGGGAGUACGGCCGCAAGGCUAAAACUCAAAGGAAUUGACGGGGCCCCGCACAAGCGGCGGAGCAUGCGGAUUAAUUCGAUGCAACGCGUAGAACCUUACCUGGGUUUGACAUGGAUCGGGAGUGCUCAGAGAUGGGUGUGCCUCUUUUGGGGUCGGUUCACAGGUGGUGCAUGCCUGUCGUCAGCUCGUGUCGUGAGAUGUUGGGUUAAGUCCCGCAACGAGCGCAACCCUUGUUCACUGUUGCCAGCACGUUAUGGUGGGGACUCAGUGGAGACCGCCGGGGUCAACUCGGAGGAAGGUGGGGAUGACGUCAAGUCCUCAUGCCCCUUAUGUCCAGGGCUUCACGCAUGCUACAAUGGCUGGUACAGAGAGUGGCGAGCCUGUGAGGGUGAGCGAAUCUCGGAAAGCCGGUCUCAGUUCGGAUUGGGGUCUGCAACUCGACCUCAUGAAGUCGGAGUCGCUAGUAAUCGCAGAUCAGCAACGCUGCGGUGAAUACGUCCCCGGG
rnacentral:rRNA from 1 species